UACGUAGGGCGCAAGCGUUGUUCGGAUUUACUGGGCGUAAAGGGCGCGUAGGCGGCGCUUCGAGUCGCGUGUGAAAGCCCCGGGCUCAACCUGGGAAUUGCAUUCGAGACUGCGUAGCUAGGGUGCGGAAGAGGGAAGCGGAAUUUCCGGUGUAGCGGUGAAAUGCGUAGAUAUCGGAAGGAACACCAGUGGCGAAAGCGGCUUCCUGGUCCAGCACCGACGUUCAGGCACGAAAGCGUGGGGAGCAAACAGG
rnacentral:rRNA from 1 species